rnacentral:rRNA from 1 species
CAAUAGCGAAUAUUUAAGUUGCUGCAGUUAAAAAGCUCGUAGUUGGAUUUCGGGUGGGAAUGGCCGGUCCGCCGUUUCGGUGUGCACUUGCUACGCCCACCUUGCUGCCGGGGACGUGCUCUUGAGUUCACGCUCGGGACACGGAGUCGGCGAGGUUACUUUGAGUAAAUUAGAGUGUUCAAAGCAGGCCUACGCUCUGAAUACAUUAGCAUGGAAUAACACGAUAGGACUCUGGCCUAUCUUGUUGGUCUGUAGGACCGGAGUAAUGAUUAAGAGGGACAGUCGGGGGCAUUCGUAUUUCAUUGUCAGAGGUGAAAUUCUUGGAUUUAUGAAAGACGAACUACUGCGAAAGCAUUUGCCAAGGAUGUUUUCAUUAA